CGACGACGGGUAGCCGGCCUGAGAGGGUGUCCGGCCACACUGGGACUGAGAUACGGCCCAGACUCCUACGGGAGGCAGCAGUGGGGAAUAUUGCACAAUGGGCGCAAGCCUGAUGCAGCGACGCCGCGUGGGGGAUGACGGCCUUCGGGUUGUAAACCUCUUUCAGCAGGGACGAAGCGCAAGUGACGGUACCUGCAGAAGAAGCACCGGCCAACUACGUGCCAGCAGCCGCGGUAAUACGUAGGGUGCGAGCGUUGUCCGGAAUUACUGGGCGUAAAGAGCUCGUAGGUGGUUUGUCGCGUUGUUCGUGAAAACCGGGGGCUUAACCCUCGGCGUGCGGGCGAUACGGGCAGACUAGAGUACUGCAGGGGAGACU
rnacentral:rRNA from 1 species